UGAAGGCCAAUCACAUCUUAAAUCUUUAGCUUUCUCAGCAAAAAAUCAUCACAUCUAAAUAUUCUCUAGAUCAAACCUUUGUUCCACAUUUCAUUAAGAAAACCAUGUUUAUUACUUGAAAUGUAAAGAGGAAGAGAAAGAGAGACAUUGAUGACUGAUUUUCUCAAUAUUCAAGUAACAAAAUGCAGAAGAAAAAAUUACAAAAGGCAGAAAAAGGAAAGAAGAGACAAAUAAGAAAAGGCAAAAAAAAAAACACUCACUUUCUCCAUCUUGAUUCUAAAAAAAAAAAAACCACUCUUUUUAGUUGGCUUACUUAUCAAUUGGUGUUGGCAAUAGACUUGGUGUGUUCACAUAUCAUCAUUUCAGGUUUAAAGUGUAAAGUGAUCAUAUUAAGUAAAGCUGCAAUUGUGUUUUUGAUAAACCAGGUUUGGACUUUGGAGAGAGUUAAUUAUAGCAGUGUUCACAUCAAAGGAACUGUUUCGUACCGUUCAUUUUCACCAGACUGAGACAACACGAUAAAAAAGUCCCCAGAAAAGAUUCUUCAAAAAAUUCAGAGAAGCAACAAAAAUUGGCACACUCCAGAAGAGAAGCGAGGAAUGAGGAUACGGGCCAUAUACGAAAGUAUGAGUCCCUACCCUACAAGUGUCAAAGGUUGUGGGACAUUUCCUUCCUACCAUUCACAUGGUUUGUGCAGAGGAAGCAAGAAACCAAAAAAGUAUCACAAAUUCUUGAAAGCUGAGGCAGUCCCCCUGGACUUGUUGCGUAGAUAUGGAAUGUGAUGUCGACCCUACAACGUACAAAUGCAGAGAAAAUGCAAACAUGUGAGGUGCUGUCCCUCUCAGUUCUCUCGUAAAGACAUGUGAAGUGUGUCAUAACACAAGCCACUCAUCAAUAUUACCUUGCUGUCAAUUCGACUGCAAAACCUAGUCUAUUAGCACUCUUUCCAAUCCCUACCAUAAUGGGACCAUCCCUUGUCAUAAGUUUGUUUUUGUCUUUUUUUUCCAAUUAUUUGACU